UUCCGGUUGAUCCCGCCGGACCUGACUGCUAUCGGAUUGAUACUAAGCCAUGUGAGUCUUUGCAGUAAUGCAAGGCGGACGGCUCAGUAACACGUAGUCAAUCUAACCUAUGGACAGGGAUAAUCUCGGGAAACUGAGCAUAAUACCUGAUAGAUCAUUAUGCCUGGAACGGUUAAUGGUUGAAAUGAUUUUUCGCCAUAGGAUGGGACUGCGGCCUAUCAGCUUGUUGGUGAGGUAAUGGCCCACCAAGGCUAUUACAGGUACGGGCUCUGAGAGGAGAAGCCCGGAGAUGGGUACUGAGACACGGACCCAGGUCCUAUGGGGCGCAGCAGGCGAGAAAACUUUGCAAUGUGCGAAAGCACGACAAGGUUAAUCCGAGUGUUUCCUACUAAAGGAAUCUCUUGUUAGUCGUAAAACCACUAUCGAAUAAGGGGUGGGCAAGUUCUGGUGUCAGCCGCCGCGGUAAAACCAGCACCUCAAGUGGUCAGGAGGUUUAUUGGGCCUAGAGCAUCCGUAGCCUGAUCUAUAAGUUUCCGGUUAAAUCCACUUGCUCAACAUUUGGGCUGCCGGAAAAACUGUAGAUCUAGGGAGUGGGAAAGGUAGACGGUACUCGGUAGGAAGGGGUAAAAUCCUUUGAUCUAUUGAUGACCACCAGUGGCGAAGGCGGUCUACCAGAACACGUUCGACGGUGAGGGAUGAAAGCUGGGGGAGCAAACCGGAUUAGAUACCCGGGUAGUCCCAGCUGUAAACGAUGCAGACUCGGUGAUGCAUUGGCUUGUGGCCAGUGCAGUGCCGCAGGGAAGCCGUUAAGUUUGCCGCCUGGGAAGUACGUACGCAAGUAUGAAACUUAAAGGAAUUGGCGGGGGAGCAC
rnacentral:rRNA from 1 species